AUGGGUUUCCAGAAAUUGCAUUUUGUGGGCAUACUCUUAGCAUUAUAUGUUUUUAACUUAUUUUCUUUUUGCUUUGAUGAGUUCGAACAUCAAGUGACCCUUGAAGCGCUACAACACUUAAAUGCACUCUUUCAGGAGUAUGAGAAAAGAGGAAGACAGCUGUUGGAUAUGGAGACUUUCAAAUGCAUAAUGAAGCAGAGCAUGAGGUUACAGAAUAAAAGUACUGAACAAAUAGAACAACUUUUCAUGAAAAUAGACUAUGAAGCAGUGGGCAGAAUUCAUUGGGAUGGCUUCUGCACAUAUCUGCAGUUAGCAUAUUCAGAGCAAGCUGAUGCUUUGGCUCGACAGAAAGAGGUUUCCUUCCAGCUGCCUGCUGUGCUGCAGGGACUGUCGUACGGGGGACCCGUGCUGCGCAUUCUCUCUGUGCCUGAUGACACCUUAAUCAUGAUCAGAGAAGAUGGAGCCAUUUAUUUCUGGUCCCUGCAGCUGAAGUUGAAAAGAAGAAAGCGAGUUUUUGACAAGCCCAUCAUUCGGAAGCGCCGGUGGGUGACGGAUGCCACCAGCAUGCCACAGUACAACAAACUGAUCCUAGGAACUGGAAACCGCGAAAUCCAGCUGUAUGAGUUCUCUAACUUGGAGCCUUACUGUCAGAUUGGUGGCCUGGAAGCUGUCCCUCUGAAACUGGACUACUGGUACGAGGAUCCUGACAAGUGCCUGAUUCUCUAUGGUGAUGACCAGGGAUGUGUGAACAUUCUGUUUUUGGCUUCUGUCGGUGAACUAUUAAGGGGACGUCACACCCCAGGUCCCUCUCAUGGGGGAGGUCACACUCCAGAUCCCUUUCAGAGGAAGUCACAUACCACACCUCCCAUCCUCAGGGAAGAAGUCACUCCAGGUCAAGUGUGCUGUUACUCUUGGUGGCUGAGGGUCCCCAGGAGGCAGCCGUCUCAGUCCUAUCACAGUGACACUCUGGAGCCAGAAGCAUGGAGAACUUGGAAGAAGCUGCCCACAGUUGAGAACAUGCCAAACAUUAGCAUUAAUAAUGCUGUGAAUUCUCCAAAUGUGAAUUACAUCCGCUGGAAAGUGCACGGAGACUGGGUUACUCAGCUGAACUACUACGAUUCUAUCAACGCCGUUAUCUCAAGCUCCAAUCAUGAGCCCACUGCUCUAGUCAUAGGAAUCUUACAGCAGCCCUGUCCACCUCUGAUUCGCAGCCUUCAAACCACAUUGUCUUUCAAGGAAAGCUUCCUUGGUAAAUUUCUGAUUCACUGACAUUGAAAUCACUGAAGUGUUGGAAAGAGAUGUGCUCUGGGUAAGAAGUCGCUUGGGAAUUUUCAUUAGACUUUCUUGGAACUAAGAAGUGGUCGUUUUCUAGAACCGUGAUGGAUAUGAAUCUUAAGAAACUGAAAGCCAGCCUCCAGAAGCAGCUCAAAACUCAGUGUUUGUUAUGACAGAACAAAAAUCAGCGAGCCCAGAAGAAGGAUCUCCAGGCUCUAGCCCUGGCUCUGCUGCUCAUAGAGCUGUGACCUCAGGCCUCAGCCCCCUCUCCAGUUCAGUGAGGAAGUUGGACAUGAGCCCAAAGUCACAGAUCUUCCUUUUGCUCUAAGCCCCUGUCCCUCCCUUCCUUCACCUCACAUCAUGGGAAGCAGAGGCCGCUACAGCUCUGAACCCCUGUUAGUGUGUCUAGAAACCUAGAUAGCUCAACUAUAGAAUUCCUCCACCCCGGCCCCUCGCAACAUCGUUGAAGUUUCUGUUUCUCUCCGGAAGGAGAAUGGGGAGGAGCCCUUAGAGCAGAACUCCUGGAAAGACUUGCCCUUUCUUACGCCUGUCCUCCAAGUUGGUCUAAGACCCACUCCAACCCAGCUGUGUCCCUCCACGCCAUUAAAGUCACUCUUGUAAGGGCCACCAGUGCCCCUCCUGCUGCUGAAAUCAGUGACCGGUCCUCGUCCCACUUGCCCUCUCAACACGAGCCGCAGGUCCCUUGGCUUCCUCCCUGCAGUCCUCUCACUUGGCGUGAGGACUCCACCUCUCAUGGUUUCCCGUCCUUCCUGCCUGUAGCCCCUUCUCGUUCUCCCUUACUGGUCGUCUGCAUCGCCAUGACUCGUGUCUAUGACGCAGUGACGGAGCCCCCAGCAUUCAGUCUUUGGUCCUCUUCUCUUCCACAUCUGCACCCCCGCGAUGAGCGCUCCGCUACCACUGCUGUCAAUUCCCAAAAGUACAUCUCUGGCCCAGCCCCCUCCCUGAACUUCUCUCUGGUAUUUCCAGCUGCCUU
rnacentral:lncRNA from 1 species